rnacentral:rRNA from 1 species
GAACGCUGGCGGCAUGCCUAACACAUGCAAGUCGAACGAACCCUUCGGGGUUAGUGGCGCACGGGUGCGUAACGCGUGGGAAUCUGCCCUUUGCUUCGGAAUAACUCAGGGAAACUUGUGCUAAUACCGGAUGAUGUCUUCGGACCAAAGAUUUAUCGGCAAGGGAUGAGCCCGCGUAGGAUUAGGUAGUUGGUGGGGUAAAGGCCUACCAAGCCGACGAUCCUUAGCUGGUCUGAGAGGAUGAUCAGCCACACUGGGACUGAGACACGGCCCAGACUCCUACGGGAGGCAGCAGUGGGGAAUAUUGGACAAUGGGCGCAAGCCUGAUCCAGCAAUGCCGCGUGAGUGAUGAAGGCCCUCGGGUCGUAAAGCUCUUUUACCAGGGAUGAUAAUGACAGUACCUGGAGAAUAAGCUCCGGCUAACUCCGUG